UACGUAGGGUGCAAGCGUUGUCCGGAAUUAUUGGGCGUAAAGAGCUUGUAGGCGGUUUGUCGCGUCUGCUGUGAAAUUUCGGGGCUCAACCCCCGAACUUGCAGUGGGUACGGGCAGACUAGAGUGUGGUAGGGGAGACUGGAAUUCCUGGUGUAGCGGUGAAAUGCGCAGAUAUCAGGAGGAACACCGAUGGCGAAGGCAGGUCUCUGGGCCACUACUGACGCUGAGAAGCGAAAGCAUGGGGAGCGAACAGG
rnacentral:rRNA from 1 species